rnacentral:misc_RNA from 1 species
AGGCACGCUUUCCGUUGCAAAGAACAAGUUGGUUUCCAUCUACGGAGAACAUGAAUGAGAUUCCGUCUUCCGGUGAGGUGUUCCGCAGCGAGGAUGGCACUGUUUCCACGAUCCUGCCCAGCAACUACGGGCAGGACUACGAGGCGUCUGAAGGUGAGCUGGAGGAGUACGCCGAGUACAUCGGUAUUGACCCCGCCAAGGAGCCGGAGUUGAUGUGGAUAGCAAAAGAGGGGCUUCGGGCGGCACUGCCCGAUGGCUGGCGUGCGUGUCAGACGGACGACAACGAGGUGUACUACUUCAACUUCCAAACCGGCGAGAGUCUCUGGGACCACCCGAUGGAUGAGCACUUCAAGACUCAGGUCGUCAACGAGCGCGCGAAGCGAGGCGGUGGCGGUAGUAGUGCGGGCGCCGCCGUUGGCGGCUCCACCCGCACCGGCCGGACGGCCGCAGGAACGGGGUCCACCAAGGCCAUCGCCGACUCCUUCUUCUUGAAACCUUCCGCAGCAGUCUCUUCGAACCGGACACCUGGGUCUCUUGCGGACAUCGGCGGUGGCGGCGUGGCGCCGGCCACCACAGGUACCGCGACUGCGAAAGACAGUCGGACACCAGGCAGCUCCAUGAAAGACGGUGCCAGCGCACCGCGAGCCCCACCAGACGUGUCAGACAUCUUGGCGCUGUCUUCAGCGGCUUCGCACCCUCCUUCUCUAGGUGCGAGCCGCGCCACAACAAACGCGGGGCUGCCCCGCAUGAAGGAGCGGGAGGCUGCUCUACGGAAGCGACUGGAGGAAGGGAAUGAGGCGCAACUCCGAGCACUGCGCAUAGAACUGGACAAGAAGGCGGGCGCGGAGCGACAGAGACUGACGGAGGCGCGGACGAAGCUUCAGAAGGAUCUCGACGCCGCUUGGGAGCAGGAGAGGUCCAGUGCAGACGGCGACACCGUGGCCGCAUCGUCAGUGACUAGUGCGGCCACUCAGCGUCGCCUGCAGAUCGCCCGUGAAGUGAAGCAGAUCGAGGAGAGCUGGAAGGCUCGCCUGCACGACGUUAGUGCUCGCGUGCGAGAGCUGCAGCAACAGGUGGAGGAGAAGCAGCAGACUCUGCUGAAAGCAUUCCAGCAGUCCCCAGAGGAGCUGAGGAAGACGCUCGAGGCACGCAACGCCGCCGAGGUGGCGCAGCUGCGGGAGGCGAAGCGAAAGGAAAGCGAAAUUGCCCUUGCCCACCUCAAGAGCGAGCAGGCGUCGGCACUGACGGAGGCGCGACUCCGCGCGAACGACGCCGUCGCCGCUGCUGCGAAGGCCACCGAGGCGGAGUUUGAGAAGAAGGUGCAGGAGCGGCGGGUACAGAACGGGGCGAUGCUCGCCUCACUAAAGGCGGUGGUGGAGGCGAAGCAGGCGGAUCUGGCAGCGAAGGAGAAGGCGACUGCGGCUGCAUCGUCAACAACGACACCGAAUACCACUGCGGCAGCCGCGGCGGCGGACGCGUCCUCAGACGCCGAGGAGGCCGCGAUUGCCGCAGCACAGGCCGCAGCUGACGCUGAGGUGUUGAAGGCAAGGGAGGCAAGCGCGGCCGCGGUGGCGCGGCUGCGAGAGGAGUACGCCGCGAAAAAGAGGGAGAAGGAGGCAUCCCUUAAAGCGGCCCAGCCGCCGCCGCUGAGUCGUUCAUCGUUCACCUCUUCUGCGAUCUCUAGUCCCACGGCCGACCUCUCCAGCCCCGCAGACAGCUUCAGCGCGCGUGGCAUCGGUGCUGCAGAGCAGGCGAAGCUGGACGAGGAGGACCAGAAGCUGCGGGAUGAGGCUGACAGGGCUGUGCGCAUCUUCGAGGAGGAAACGCAGAUCAUGGUGGAGAAUAAGAAGGCUGGCCGAUCCCUCACGGCGGCCCCGUCGGUGGAUGUCGCUGCAUCCGUUUCUGCAGAGGCAAUCGCCGCACUCGGCCGCACAGCGAAUCAGGAGCAGCGCGCACGCGAGGCCGAGAACACGCGCCACUUCAUGGUCAUGAAGCAGUUGGAGGCGAAGCACGACCAGGCCGUGCGGGCCUUGAAAGCCCAACUCGACAAGAAUUUGGCGUCGUCGGCAUCGUCGUCCGCGCCGAGACUUUUCAAUCCUCGCCAGCAGCCCUCGUUCGCGACACAGCUCGCGACUCGCAAGCGGGAGUGGCUGCGCGAUCACCCGGCGCCGUCGGCGGAGAUGCCGACGCUUCUGCCCGUCCCGACCCUGCCAGCUGCGGCUCUGCAGUCAGACGUAGCGGCUGUGCGUAUGCCAGACGAAGAGGAGCAGGCGAAGCUCAUCAAGACGCGCCUCGCUCAGGUGCGGGAGGAGGCGCAUCGGCAGUACGACCAAGAGGUACAAGCGCUUCAAACGACUCGGCAGGAGGACCUCGAGGCGUGGAGGGAGGCGUACAGGUCAUCGCGACUAAUGGAGGUGGAGAAGGCCAUGGCGGCGCUGAAGGAGGCUGCCGCAGCAGCGGGUGCUUCAGCGGGGGAGGGACGGCGGCUGGAGAAGCUGCAGUCAGAGCUGCAGGCGCUGGAGGCUGCCAUUAUAGCCGCAGACAGUGAGCACGAGCGUCAGACGCGUGUGCUGGAGGAGAGCAUCGCCAGCCUUGAGGCUUCACUGGCCCAGCUGCGCACACAGGAGCGCCGCGAGGAAGAGGCGAGGGCAGAGCAACUUCACUUCCAACAGCAGCGCUUGCUGUUGAAGGGCGCGCACAAGUCUCCAUCGAGCGCCCAUGCCGUCGCCCUGCCGUCGAGGUCAGCAGUCCCAGCAUCGAACGAGCUGUACAUAUCGGAGGAGGAGGCAGCCGAUGAAGCGGCGGCGCUGCGCGCGCGGUGGACGGCGCUCAUCAAAGCGCUGCGUUCUGCCGUUCAACGCGAGAUGGAGGCAUACCAGCGCGCACUGGAUGAGUCUACUGCUCAGCACCACACCACCAGCGCCGCUGGAGCUGUUUGGGCGCAUCCGGCAGGUUGUGCAGCAGCGAUCGUGGCUGCCAAUGCCGGCGCUCCAAUACACACUGUAAGCACGCCGCGCGAUCGGGGCCCCGCGACAUGCGUGACCUCUUCUCUACCGCCUCCUGCCCCUUCAGCCAUGCUGACGACUGUCAGUGCACUGCCGGGCCGACCUGCGGCGUUGCAAGAGCAGAAGCCGCCGCAGCCGACGUCGUCGUUGCUUGCUAUCGGCACCACUGCCACAAACCCCUCUGGCUACACCACUCCACUUCAGCGGCACCCACGAGAACACGACGACAGCGGCGCGGGAUCAAUGAUCCUGGGCAGCGCUGCAACGCGGAUGUCGGCCUCUUCACCGGCGCCGCAGCUGUGCUUAAUGGACUCGCGCUUGGGCGAAGUUGGCGCUCACGCUGCCCUGCCUGGGCAGUGUCCCCUCCACUCUACCUCGCUACAGCCACAGUCGCAGCCGCAUCGACUGUGGCCUGACGCAAGCGUUGUGCCAUCUUCAGAUGCCCUGAUGGGGGUGCGCAGCCGACAUCUUGACCCGCACCGGAACACGAGUGUGUCCUCCGCAGCCGCGCCGUGGACGACUGUCCCCGGUGGUGCGCAAUGGGGAGGACCGCCAACUUGCACCUCCGCUGCAUCGGCGCAGCAGGUAACAGAGGCACCUGCCGACCGCCCCAGCUACUCUGGCGGGCCAGCGAGCGGCAGUGCCAGCGUCGAUGCCGACGAUGCGCGUGCACGACAUCACGCGGCGCGCCUUGCUGCCUUGCAGCAGACUUUGCGGGCACGCCGGCGCGACCUGCAGGCCCGGCGGCGCGAGAUGGAGGCACUGCGUGCUGAGUGGCGUGCUGACAUGCGGGCCUGCAAGCGGCAGGGCGAUCACGCGCUGGCGUGUCGGCUGCGCGAAGUGAAGACCGAGUUAGAGGUGCGGGCUCGUGAGCUCAACGAGGAGGUGCUGCAGCUGAAGAAAAUGCACGAAAACGUACACGAGGAGGUGCGACAGUUCCGUCGGUGGCUGGACCUCCGCCAGCAGCCAGAGGGCCAGGUGGCGCGCGGGAGUGGCGGCAGUGUCAGCUCAUCGGCUGCAUGGAGUGGCCUCGCCCUCACCGGGAGCAAGCUUGCAUACGUGUGCCGGGGUGAGGGUGAUCGGUCUCCGGCGUCGUCGUCGAAGACCGCUGAUGUGAUGGGGCUGCUGUACAACAUGGUGGAUCGGACAGAGCGGUUGGAGGAGCUGCUGCUGGGUCGCCUGGAGACCCACUCGCCUUCAACGCAUCGCAGUGGCACGCAGCACAGUGGUCGGUGACGUUGGGAUGACGCCGUCCAUCGUGGACGACGAUGCGUGGGUGUUGCGGGUUCCGUGAUAUCGCGGGCAAAAGUGAGGCGAGGGGCGAGGCGCGCGAGGAAAGCUCAUGCUUCUCUUUGAACCCUGUUCACAUCUCCUCCCCCUCCUCUCUCGCCGCUACUCUCAUCCGCGACAUUCGUGGGUGUUUCUGCUCGGGAGGGAGGGCGCACGCUGCGGCGCUGCCCGCAACGUGUCUCACUUUGUGCUUUCGCGUGUUGGCUCUCGUCUUCCUCCUUCCCCUCUUCUGCGGUAUUUCAUCGCUCGUCUGCGCCGUUCUCGUCUUUCUUCCCCUCGCCCUGCUCGCAGGCGGGCGGCGGCGACGAUGUCGGUCAUGCUCAAGGUGUGCAUGCACGUGCAUUGGUCGGUUUCAUCGAUGUGCAGGGUGCACGCGGCACCCGUCGAGUGCCUCGUGCACGCAGGACGAUAUGCGCUUGCGUGCGAGUGCACCCCUGUGCGGGGGCGGUCUUGCGCCCAGAGGCUGUGCUGCCUUUCAAAAGAGGGAGGGUGGGAGCGGACGCCUCUCUGUUUUCGGGCCCUUUCUCCUGUGCUGUGCAGCCUUGCGUUGUUGUGCUUGCUCUCCCGUCGCACAGACAUGCACAACUCGGCAUGCGCACGUGCACCAACACGCACACUCGGACAGUUCCGCACCGGAUGCCACCAGAUCAAGCGCGCCUUUUUUUUUUCGCUCUCGCUUCUUUGUGUGUCGCUUGCUGAGUUUUCGCAUCUGCGGUGCUCCUCUUCGCCCUUUCG